CCAGCAGCUGCGGUAAUUCCAGCUCCAAUAGCGUAUAUUUAAGUUGUUGCAGUUAAAAAGCUCGUUGUUGGAUUUCGGGUGGGUUCCAGCGGUCCGCCUAUGGUGAGUACUGCUGCGGCCCUCCUUUUUGUCGGGGACGGGCUCCUGGGCUUCACUGUCCGGGACUCGGAGUCGACGAUGAUACUUUGAGUAAAUUAGAGUGUUCAAAGCAAGCGUUCGCUAUGAAUACAUUAGCAUGGAAUAACAUGAUAGGACUCUGGCUUAUCUUGUUGGUCUGUAAGACCGGAGUAAUGAUUAAGAGGGACAGUCGGGGGCAUUCGUAUUUCAUUGUCAGAGGUGAAAUUCUUGGAUUUAUGAAAGACGAACUUCUGCGAAAGCAUUUGCCAAGGAUGUUUUCAUUAAUCAAGAACGAAAGU
rnacentral:rRNA from 1 species